rnacentral:rRNA from 1 species
GCAGAAUUCGCCUUAGAGUUUGAUCCUGGCUCAGGAUGAACGCUGGCGGUAUGCUUUACACAUGCAAGUCGUACGAGAGUUUUUAACUCAAGUGGCGGACGGGUGAGUAACACGUAAGAAUUUGCCUUUAGGAGGGGGAUAACAACUGGAAACGGUUGCUAAUACCCCAUAUGCUUUCGAGUAAAAUGGAUUUUCCGCCUAAAGAGAAGCUUGCGGCUGAUUAGCUUGUUGGUGAGGUAAUGGCUCACCAAGGCGACGAUCAGUAUCUGGUUUGAGAGGACGAUCAGACACACUGGAACUGAGACACGGUCCAGACUCCUACGGGAGGCAGCAGUGGGGAAUUUUCCGCAAUGGGCGAAAGCCUGACGGAGCAAUACCGCGUGAGGGAUGACGGCCUAUGGGUUGUAAACCUCUUUUUUCAGGGAGGAAUCAAUGACGUGUACCUGAAGAAUAAGCAUCGGCUAACUCCGUGCCAGCAGCCGCGGUAAGACGGAGGAUGCAAGUGUUAUCCGGAAUCACUGGGCGUAAAGCGUCUGUAGGUGGUCAAAUAAGUCAACUGUUAAAUCUUGAGGCUCAACCUCAAAAUCGCAGCCGAAACUAUUCGACUAGAGUAUAGUAGGGGUAAAGGGAAUUUCCAGUGGAGCGGUGAAAUGCGUAGAGAUUGGAAAGAACACCGAUGGCGAAGGCACUUUACUGGGCUAUUACUAACACUGAGAGACGAAAGCUAGGGUAGCAAAUGGGAUUAGAUACCCCAGUAGUCCUAGCCGUAAACAAUGGAUACUAGAUGUUGAACAGAUCGACCUGUGCAGUAUCAAAGCUAACGCGUUAAGUAUCCCGCCUGGGAAGUAUGCUCGCAAGAGUGAAACUCAAAUGAAUUGACGGGGAAGGGC